rnacentral:lncRNA from 1 species
AAAAGGUAUAACUGAGCAAAUAAGUUGCCUUGAAGCUGAGGCAUUUCUAAACUCUUUGGAACCUAUGCAACAUGCAGACACAAAACCAAAAGAUAAUUCUCUUUCACAUGAAAUAUUUUAUCAAAAACUACCAUGUAUCUUGUCUACCUGUAUAGAGAACAUUUUUUUAAAAAAAUCUAUGCUCCCUGUCAGUAAAGAGUACAUUAUAGUAUUACUUAUGAUGUGUUUGUCAUUUAAUGUUGCCGUUCUGGUUUUGAGCUUUAAGUCUUAGGCAAAGGAAAAACGACAAGUUUAAGAAAGAGGGAGUUCCCUCUAUGUAUGUAUCCCCCCUGGAUAUGUAAAUAUGUAUCCCCCCUGGAGCUGUCAUUCUUUUCUUUCACAGCUAAUUUGGAACCAGAUGAUCCACAAAUGGGUCAAUGUCAAUAUUUAAGACUGCUUUCUUCUAAUUGAGCUCAAGCAUAUCAUAUGAGUCUGUUUCAUAAUUUUUGAAUUAACUUUAAACCAUAAAAACACUCUGAAUUUUAGAAUGAUCUUUGCAGCCUUUUCUUAAAGUGGUGAGAUUUCUUUGAAUUACUUGCUACCAUGUAAGUCUGUUAAAGCAUUCGUGGGAACAUAAGGAAACUCAAAUAAACAAACAAACAAAACCAAUAUAGUCUGUUUCUAUUUAUGUGUUUAUUUUAAGAUUUAUUUAUCUAUGUAUUCCAUGUAGAAGUGUUACAUGCUUUCAUUGCUUUCAUGCAUGUCUUACUACAAAGGAGAAGAAAUAAAUCUAGUGCUUUCCUCCAGCUAUCAGAGCCACCCACUGAUUAUGACACAAAUUAGUAAAACUUAAUUCUAUAGUUUAUGUUUGGUUAUAUGUUUGGAGAUACUAACUAUCACAACUCCUUGCAGAAUAAAGCUGAGGAAAAACUAAUGAAAAGGAGUAUCUGGUACACUCUAUAUUUUCUUCUGAUUCUUGGGAUGUACCUUUUAUUUACUUGGAUUUCAGAACUACUGGGUAGUUCUGUUGUACUGUUUUUUUUUUUUUUUUCCUUUGGUGGCAUGCCUACAGCAAAGUGGUUAGUUUAAAAUCCAAUUAUCCAGUUUUGAUCUGUUUUGUGAGAUUUGAGUUUUAUUGCAGAAUGAAACCAUCAAACUGGAAGCUUUAGAACUGAAGUAAAAGGAAACAUGAAAGCCCUCUAUUAAGAUGACUAAUAUUCCAGAUGAAGCUAAUUAGUAUGAUAACCUAUGCACAUAACAGAACUGCAAAAUCAGUGAGAUCAGCCCUGCAAUACCAUUAACUACAUUAUAACUCUUCAUAUGAUUUUUCCCCCACUAGCGAAAGGUCUUAGAAAUGUGAGAUUUCAAUUUGUUUUAUCAUCUG